UGUCACCCAGGCUAGAGUGCAGUGGCAUGAUCAUAGCUCACUGUAACCUCCAACUCCUGAGAUCAAGUGAUCCUCCCACCCUGGCCUCCAGAGAUCCUCCUACCCUGGCCUUCCAAAGCACUGGGAUUACAGGUGUAAGUCACCACAUCUGGCCAAAUUUUUUUCAUUCAAGUACUGAAAAAGUGUGUUACUUGGAAGAUGUGGGAGUUACCUUUCUUGCCUGCUGGAUAAGGGGAGACCACAGGAACGGACGCCCCAGAUUUAUCAGUGAGCCCAGCCAAUGCCACAUGGAACAGAUGAGCUAUCUCAGUUGGGUGCAUCACAGAACUAGAUACGGUUUUACCAUAUUGCACAGUCUGGUCUUGAACUUCUGGGCUCAAGUUAUCUGCAUGCUUUGGUCUCCCAAAGUUCUGGGAUUAUAGGUGAGAGUCGCCUCGCUCAGCCAUAUGUUUCAAUUCUAAGGUAAGCACAAGCUUUGUUUAAAGCUCAAACACUUCUUUCAAUUACAGUGAAUUGGUACCACACUAGAUCUCAGACUUGUAUAUUUCUCAGGCAAGUAGAAAUAGCAGUGUUUGAAUAAGAGUCUUAACUCUGAAGAAUGAGGUAAGAUAAGCAAACAGUAAACAACAU